AUCUUCAGGGCAGGGUGAAAUUCCCUACCGGCGGUAAAGCCCGCGAGCGAUUUUAGCAGAUUCGGUGAAAUUCCGAGGCCGACAGUAAAGUCUGGAUGGAAGAAGAUA
rnacentral:ncRNA from 1 species